rnacentral:lncRNA from 1 species
CGAAGAUCGCCACACCGCGGGGAGCAGCCCCUCCAGGCCAGAAGGGCCAGGCCAACGCCACCAGGAUUCCAGCAAAAACCCCGCCCGCUCCAAAGACACCACCCAGCUCUGUGAACCUCCAAAAUCAGGGGAUCGCAGCGGCUACAGCAGCCCCGGCUCCCCAGGCACUCCCGGCAGCCGCUCCCGCACCCCGUCCCUUCCAACCCCACCCACCCGGGAGCCCAAGAAGGUGGCAGUGGUCCGUACUCCACCCAAGUCGCCGUCUUCCGCCAAGAGCCGCCUGCAGACAGCCCCCGUGCCCAUGCCAGACCUGAAGAAUGUCAAGUCCAAGAUCGGCUCCACUGAGAACCUGAAGCACCAGCCGGGAGGCGGGAAGUGCAAAUAGUCUACAAACCAGUUGACCUGAGCAAGGUGACCUCCAAGUGUGGCUCAUUAGGCAACAUCCAUCAUAAACCAGAGGUGGCCAGGUGGAAGUAAAAUCUGAGAAGCUUGACUUCAAGGACAGAGUCCAGUCGAAGAUUGGGUCCCUGGACAAUAUCACCCACGUCCCUGGCGGAGGAAAUAAAAAGUUGAAACCCACAAGCUGACCUUCCGCGAGAACGCCAAAGCCAAGACAGACCACGGGGCGGAGAUCGUGUACAAGUCGCCAGUGGUGUCUGGGGACACGUCUCCACGGCAUCUCAGCAAUGUCUCCUCCACCGGCAGCAUCGACAUGGUAGACUCGCCC